GAUGAAUGCUGGCGGCGCGCCUAACACAUGCAAGUCGAGCGGAAAGGCCCUUCGGGGUACUCGAGCGGCGGACGGCUGAGUAACGCGUGGGAACAUGCCCCAAAGUGAGGAAUAACUGCCCGAAAGGGUAGCUAAUACCGCAUAUGAUCUUCGGAUUAAAGGAUUUAUCCGCUUUGGGAGUGGCCCGCGUACGAUUAGGUAGUUGGUGAGGUAAAGGCUCACCAAGCCUACGAUCGUUAACUGGUCUGAGAGGAUGAUCAGUCAGACUGGAACUGAGACACGGUCCAGACUCCUACGGGGGGCAGCAGUGAGGAAUCUUCCACAAUGGGCGAAAGCCUGAUGGAGCGACGCCGCGUGCAGGAUGAAGGCCUUCGGGUUGUAAACUGCUUUUAUAAGUGAAGAAUAUGACGGUAACUUAUGAAUAAGCACCGGCUAACUACGUGCCAGCAGCCGCCGUAACA
rnacentral:rRNA from 1 species